UACGUAGGGUGCAAGCAUUGUCCGGAAUUAUUGGGCGUAAAGAGCUCGUAGGCGGCUUGUCGCGUCGGAUGUGAAAGCCCGGGGCUUAACUCCGGGUCUGCAUUCGAUACGGGCAGGCUAGAGUUCGGUAGGGGGAGAUCGGAAUUCCUGGUGUAGCGGUGAAAUGCGCAGAUAUCAGGAGGAACACCGGUGGCGAAGGCGGAUCUCUGGGCCAUUACUGACGCUGAGGAGCGAAAGCGUGGGGAGCGAACAGG
rnacentral:rRNA from 1 species